GGAAAACAAUACAAAAAAACAUACUAUACUGCAGGGCUUUUUUCACAAAGCUCUCUCUCUACAUUAGCCGAAAAGUAAUGGCAUCUAACAUUUACAAUGAAUUGAUUACUUUUCUUACAGGACGAGAACAAAGAUUUUAAGUGUUUUGACAAUUAUAUAUUGAGAAAUCUAGUAACACAACACAUCUAUAGAACUUCCAUUUACAUAUUUCAGUUGGAACUUUAUCCGCCUCGGGGAAAAAAUUUACAGGAUCAACUCAAAUCUGCUGCGGAGCCUUAGUUUGCUUUUGUAAUUUACAUUCCAGAUGAUGUUCGGUUUACUCUUUGCGCACCCAAUUUAGGAGCUGCGGGUUUGGUUCCUCGGCUUCGCCCAAUUGAAGGUCUUGCUGAGGAAGUUGGCACAGGAGCUGCAAUAGCAGCCCAGGGGUCAUUGUCAUCAAGUGCUCCACUUCUUUUCACGUUCAAAGGCUUAGACGAAGGAGCUGGGGCUGCUAUAGCAGCCCAAGGAUCGUCAUCGUCAACCUUUUUGUUUGCUGGCUGAGAAGUUGCUCUUGGAGCAGGAACAGCUAAAGAACCCCACAAAUCUUCAUCGUCAUCUUUACUCAUCUUAAGAGUGGUUUUACCCCGCAAACCAGUUCCUUGUGGUUUUGGUUGAGAGACAG
rnacentral:misc_RNA from 1 species